AAACUGCCUGAUGGAGGGGGAUAACUACUGGAAACGGUAGCUAAUACCGCAUAAUGUCGCAAGACCAAAGUGGGGGACCUUCGGGCCUCAUGCCAUCAGAUGUGCCCAGAUGGGAUUAGCUAGUAGGUGGGGUAACGGCUCACCUAGGCGACGAUCCCUAGCUGGUCUGAGAGGAUGACCAGCCACACUGGAACUGAGACACGGUCCAGACUCCUACGGGAGGCAGCAGUGGGGAAUAUUGCACAAUGGGCGCAAGCCUGAUGCAGCCAUGCCGCGUGUGUGAAGAAGGCCUUCGGGUUGUAAAGCACUUUCAGCGGGGAGGAAGGCGAUAAGGUUAAUAACCUUGUCGAUUGACGUUAC
rnacentral:rRNA from 1 species